GCUGAUCUAUGAUGACAAUUCAUGGUGGACUGUUGGGUGAUACCUGUGGAUAUGGGACUGAGAUCAGUG